GAUGAACGCUGGCGGCGUGCUUAACACAUGCAAGUCGAACGGAAAGGCUCCUGCUUGCAGGGGUACUCGAGUGGCGAACGGGUGAGUAACACGUGGGUGAUCUGCCCUGCACUUCGGGAUAAGCCUGGGAAACUGGGUCUAAUACCGGAUAGGACGAUGGUUUGGAUGCCAUUGUGGAAAGUUUUUCGGUGUGGGAUGAGCUCGCGGCCUAUCAGCUUGUUGGUGGGGUAAUGGCCUACCAAGGCGUCGACGGGUAGCCGGCCUGAGAGGGUGUACGGCCACAUUGGGACUGGGAUACGGCCCAGACUCCUACGGGAGGCAGCAGUGGGGAAUAUUGCACAAUGGGCGCAAGCCUGAUGCAGCGACGCCGCGUGGGGGAUGACGGCCUUCGGGUUGUAAACGCCUUUCGCUAGGGACGAAGCGUUUUGUGACGGUACCUGGAGAAGAAGCACCGGCUAACUACGUG
rnacentral:rRNA from 1 species